rnacentral:rRNA from 1 species
GACGAACGCUGGCGGCGUGCUUAACACAUGCAAGUCGAACGCCCUAGCAAUAGGGAGUGGCAGACGGGUGAGUAACACGUGGGAACGUGCCCUUCGGUUCGGAAUAACUCAGGGAAACUUGAGCUAAUACCGGAUACGUGCGAGAGCAGAUAAAUUUAUCGCCGGAGGAUCGGCCCGCGUCCGAUUAGCUAGUUGGUGAGGUAAUGGCUCACCAAGGCGACGAUCGGUAGCUGGUCUGAGAGGAUGACCAGCCACACUGGGACUGAGACACGGCAAAGACUCCUACGGGAGGCAGCAGUUGGGAAUAUGGGACAAUGGGCGCAAGCCUGAUCCAGCCAUGCCGCGUGAGGGAUGAAGGCCCUAGGGUUGUGAAGCUCUUUCGCCAGGGACGAUAAUGACGGUACCUGGAUAAGAAGCCCCGGCUAACUUCGUGCCAGCAGCCGCGGUAA